rnacentral:rRNA from 1 species
UGGGGAAUAUUGCACAAUGGGCGCAAGCCUGAUGCAGCCAUGCCGCGUGUGUGAAGAAGGCCUUCGGGUUGUAAAGCACUUUCAGCGGGGAGGAAGGCGAUAAGGUUAAUAACCUUGUCGAUUGACGUUACCCGCAGAAGAAGCACCGGCUAACUCCGUGCCAGCAGCCGCGGUAAUACGGAGGGUGCAAGCGUUAAUCGGAAUUACUGGGCGUAAAGCGCACGCAGGCGGUCUGUCAAGUCGGAUGUGAAAUCCCCGGGCUCAACCUGGGAAUUGCAUCUGAUACUGGUCAGCUAGAGUCUUGUAGAGGGGGGUAGAAUUACAUGUGUAGCGGUGAAAUGCGUAGAGAUGUGGAGGAAUACCGGUGGCGAAGGCGGCCCCCUGGACAAAGACUGACGCUCAGGUGCGAAAGCGUGGGGAGCAAACAGG